GUGCGAAAGCAGGUCUUAGUGAUCCGGCGGUAGAGAGUGGAAUUGCCGUCGCUCAACGGAUAAAAGGUACUCCGGGGAUAACAGGCUUAUCCUUCCCAAGAGUCCACAUCGACGGAAGGGUUUGGCACCUCAAAUCUGGGGUGAGCCGGCAGAAAUGUCGGCUUAGCAUCGGCUAAUAACGGUGGAGCCCAACGCCUGGGUGCCAUCUGGAUGGCACCGUAAGAUGGGUAAUACCGUGGGAAGUCUGUCGGAAGUGCAGCGUGAAAUCAUCGUCGGCUCUUUGCUUGGCGAUGGUUCGAUGCGCUGCAAGACCAACGCGCUUCUCGAGAUCAACCAUUCGUUCCGCCAGGCUGGCUACGUUGACUGGAAGUUCAGACAUCUGGCCGACCUGGUUCGAACUCCGCCGAAAGUCCGCGCAAGUAACGGCAAGCGUCUCGCGUAUCGCUUCGUUACGCGAAGCUUGCCGGAGCUCACGCCAUACUUUCGGAUGUUCUACGCCACUGGCAAAAAACGAGUGCCUGAGCUGGAGCUCACACCACUUGUAUUGGCUGUGUGGUUCAUGGACGACGGUUGUCGAUCGAGAAGCUCGGUGUAUCUGAACACGCAGCAAUUCGACCUUGAGAGUCAGGCGACGUUGCUUCGUUCUCUUCACGAACAGUGGGGGAUCGAUGCGACGCUCAAUCGGGACAAGCUCUACCACCGAAUACGAAUUUCGGUGCCGAGCACCCGGAAACUCGCCGAGAUCAUUGGUUCGUACUUGCUGCCCGAGCUCAGAUACAAGCUUCCGCAAGUGACCCCGUAACGACUGCGGCCGUGAGGCCGCGGCGGCGUCGGACCGCUCAUCACGAGCGAAACUAACCGCGCCGCAACACGCCGACCCCUCGCCUUUGGUCAGGCAGGGUGAAGAUAUAGUCUGCGCCGUCGGUAACGACGGAUAAACGUGCGAUGUCGGCUCGUCGCAUCCUGGGGCUGGAGCAGGUCCCAAGGGUUGGGCUGUUCGCCCAUUAAAGCGGUACGCGAGCUGGGUUCAGAACGUCGUGAGACAGUAAAACCUUGCUGUCUAUAAAUCUGGCUGUUUGCUGGAAACUCCGAGUAUCCCGCGCUACUCCUCGACCUAAGGUCGGCAGUGAAAAUGCGACGGGUGCGGACAAUCAGCAGGGAAGUCCUCUGACGCCUUCGGCGUCAUGACCCCUCAGAGACUGCGCGCCAGACAAAGGCUUGGAAACAAGCCUGGAAGAUACAGUCCGAGCUGCAUGGCGACAUGCAGAGUCAGGCAGAAAUGACCUGGCCCCCGAGCUUCAACGCUCGGGAGUAACAACACUGUCGGUCCCUAUCCACCAUGGGCGCUGGAAGCUUGAGAGGAGUCGCUCCUAGUACGAGAGGACCGGAGCGAACAGACCUCUGGUGUAUCAGUCGUCGUGCCAACGGCGCUGCUGAUUAGCCACGUCUGGAUCGGAUAACCGCUGAAAGCAUCUAAGCGGGAAGCCGACCUCGAGAUGAGGCUUCCCAUCCCCUCGAGGGAGUAAGGGCCGUGGGAGACCACCACGUUGAUAGGCGGGACGUGCAAGCACAGCAAUGUGUUCAGCGGACCCGUACUAAUUGCCCGAGGUCUUGAUUUA
rnacentral:rRNA from 1 species